AUUGAACGCUGGCGACGUGCUUAACACAUGCAAGUCGUGCGAGAAAGGAGACUUCGGUCUCUGAGUAGAGCGGCGCACGGGUGAGUAACGCGUGGAUGAUCUACCCUUGAGUUCGGGAUAACGGUGCGAAAGCGCCGCUAAUACCGUAUAACAAUCCAUUUCAUCGUGGGUUCAAAGCAGGCCUCUUCAUGAAAGCUUGCGCUUGGGGAUGAGUCCGCGUCCCAUUAGCUUGUUGGCGGGGUAACGGCCCACCAAGGCUACGAUGGGUAGCCAGUCUGAGAGGAUGAUCAGCCACACUGGAACUGAAACACGGUCCAG
rnacentral:rRNA from 1 species